UACGUAGGGUGCAAGCGUUGCCCGGAUUUAUUGGGCGUAAAGGGCGCGUAGGCGGUCACACACGUCCGUUGUGAAAUCGCUCGGCUCAACUGGGCGGGGUCAGCGGAUACGGUGUGGCUGGAGCAAGCUAGGGGGCAAUGGAAUUCCCGGUGUAGUGGUGGAAUGCGUAGAUAUCGGGAGGAACACCAGUGGCGAAGGCGGUUGCCUGGAGCUUGCUGACGCUGAUGCGCGA
rnacentral:rRNA from 1 species